GACACGGUCCAGACUCCUACGGGAGGCAGCAGUGGGGAAUAUUGGACAAUGGGCGCAAGCCUGAUCCAGCCAUACCGCGUGGGUGAAGAAGGCCUUCGGGUUGUAAAGCCCUUUUGUUGGGAAAGAAAUCCAGCUGGCUAAUACCCGGUUGGGAUGACGGUACCCAAAGAAUAAGCACCGGCUAACUUCGUGCCAGCAGCCGCGGUAAUACGAAGGGUGCAAGCGUUACUCGGAAUUACUGGGCGUAAAGCGUGCGUAGGUGGUCGUUUAAGUCCGUUGUGAAAGCCCUGGGCUCAACCUGGGAACUGCAGUGGAUACUGGACGACUAGAGUGUGGUAGAGGGUAGCGGAAUUCCUGGUGUAGCAGUGAAAUGCGUAGAGAUCAGGAGGAACAUCCAUGGCGAAGGCAGCUACCUGGACCAACACUGACACUGAGGCACGAAAGCGUGGGGAGCAAACAGGAUUAGAUACCCUGGUAGUCCACGCCCUAAACGAUGCGAACUGGAUGUUGGGUGCAAUUUGGCACGCAGUAUCGAAGCUAACGCGUUAAGUUCGCCGCCUGGGGAGUACGGUCGCAAGACUGAAACUCAAAGGAAUUGACGGA
rnacentral:rRNA from 1 species